GAUGAACGCUGGCGGCGUGCCUAAUACAUGCAAGUCGAGCGAACAGACGAGGAGCUUGCUCCUCUGACGUUAGCGGCGGACGGGUGAGUAACACGUGGAUAACCUACCUAUAAUACUGGGAUAACUUCGGGAAACCGGAGCUAAUACCGGAUAAUAUAUUGAACCGCAUGGUUCAAUAGUGAAAGACGGUUUUGCUGUCACUUAUAGACGGAUCCGCGUCGCAUUAGCUAGUUGGUAAGGUAACGGCUUACCAAGGCAACGAUGCGUAGCCGACCUGAGAGGGUGAUCAGCCACACUGGAACUGAGACACGGUCCAGACUCCUACGGGAGGCAGCAGUAGGGAAUCUUCCGCAAUGGGCGAAAGCCUGACGGAGCAACGCCGCGUGAGUGAUGAAGGUCUUCGGAUCGUAAAGCUCUGUUAUUAGGGAAGAACAAAUGUGUAAGUAACUAUGCACGUCUUGACGGUACCUAAUCAGAAAGCCACGGCUAACUACGUG
rnacentral:rRNA from 1 species